rnacentral:rRNA from 1 species
CCUACGGGAGGCAGCAGUGGGGAAUUUUGCGCAAUGCUCGUAAGAGUGACGCAGCGACGCCGCGUGAAUGACGAAGGCCUUCGGGUCGUAAAGUUCUUUCGACAGGGAAGAAAAUGCCUAUAAGUAACUGUGUAUGUAUUGACGGUACCUGUAUAAGCAGCCCCGGCUAACUCCGUGCCAGCAGCCGCGGUAAUACGGAGGGGGCGAGCGUUGUUCGGAGUGACUGGGCGUAAAGAGCACGUAGGCGGUGUUGUAAGUCAUUAGUCAAAGACUAGCGCUCAACUUUAGUAAGGCUAGUGAUACUAUAAUACGAGAGUAUCAGAGAGGAUUGCAGAAUUCCUGGUGUAGCGGUGAAAUGCGUAGAGAUCAGGAGGAAUACCGUUAGCGAAGGCGGCAAUCUGGCUGGAAACUGACGCUGAGGUGCGAAAGCGUGGGUAGCAAACAGGAUUAGAUACCCCUGUAGUC